rnacentral:rRNA from 1 species
UACGUAGGGACCAAGCGUUGUUCGGAAUUACUGGGCGUAAAGGGCUCGUAGGCGGCCAACUAAGUCACACGUGAAAUCCCCAGGCUUAACCUGGGAACUGCGUGUGAUACUGGAUGGCUUGAAUCCGGGAGAGGGAUGCAGAAUUCCAGGUGUAGCGGUGAAAUGCGCAGAUAUCAGGAGGAACACCGGUGGCGAAGGCGGGUCUCUGGGCCGAUACUGACGCUGAGGAGCGAAAGCGUGGGGAGCGAACAGG